UCCCUGGUGGCUCAGAUGAUAAAGAAUCUGCCUGCAAUGCAGGAGACUUGGGUUCGAUUCCUGAGUUGGGAA
rnacentral:tRNA from 1 species